rnacentral:rRNA from 1 species
GACGAACGCUGGCGGCGCGCCUAACACAUGCAAGUCGAACGAGAGAUGAGGAGCUUGCUCUUCAAAUCGAGUGGCGAACGGGUGAGUAACGCGUGAGGAACCUGCCUCAAAGAGGGGGACAACAGUUGGAAACGACUGCUAAUACCGCAUAAGCCCACGGCUCGGCAUCGAGCAGAGGGAAAAGGAGCAAUCCGCUUUGAGAUGGCCUCGCGUCCGAUUAGCUAGUUGGUGAGGUAACGGCCCACCAAGGCGACGAUCGGUAGCCGGACUGAGAGGUUGAACGGCCACAUUGGGACUGAGACACGGCCCAGACUCCUACGGGAGGCAGCAGUGGGGAAUAUUGCACAAUGGGGGAAACCCUGAUGCAGCGACGCCGCGUGGAGGAAGAAGGUCUUCGGAUUGUAAACUCCUGUUGUUGAGGAAGAUAAUGACGGUACUCAACAAGGAAGUGACGGCUAACUACGUGCCAGCAGCCGCGGUAAAACGUAGGUCACAAGCGUUGUCCGGAAUUACUGGGUGUAAAGGGAGCGCAGGCGGGAGAACAAGUUGGAAGUGAAAUCCAUGGGCUCAACCCAUGAACUGCUUUCAAAACUGUUUUUCUUGAGUAGUGCAGAGGUAGGCGGAAUUCCCGGUGUAGCGGUGGAAUGCGUAGAUAUCGGGAGGAACACCAGUGGCGAAGGCGGCCUACUGGGCACCAACUGACGCUGAGGCUCGAAAGUGUGGGUAGCAAACAGGAUUAGAUACCCUGGUAGUCCACACCGUAAACGAUGAUUACUAGGUGUUGGAGGAUUGACCCCUUCAGUGCCGCAGUUAACACAAUAAGUAAUCCACCUGGGGAGUACGACCGCAAGGUUGAAACUCAAAGGAAUUGACGGGGGCCCGCACAAGCAGUGGAGUAUGUGGUUUAAUUCGACGCAACGCGAAGAACCUUACCAAGUCUUGACAUCCCUUGACGAUGCUGGAAACAGUAUUUCUCUUCGGAGCAAGGAGACAGGUGGUGUAUGGUUGUCGUCAGCUCGUGUCGUGAGAUGUUGGGUUAAGUCCCGCAACGAGCGCAACCCUUAUGGUCAGUUACUACGCAAGAGGACUCUGGCCAGACUGCCGUUGACAAAACGGAGGAAGGUGGGGAUGACGUCAAAUCAUCAUGCCCUUUAUGACUUGGGCUACACACGUACUACAAUGGCGUUAAACAAAGAGAAGCAAGACCGCGAGGUGGAGCAAAACUCAGAAACAACGUCCCAGUUCGGACUGCAGGCUGCAACUCGCCUGCACGAAGUCGGAAUUGCUAGUAAUCGUGGAUCAGCAUGCCACGGUGAAUACGUUCCCGGGCCUU